AUGAAAAAAGGCGACGAGGAGAAAACUGCAUUCAAAACGCAUCACGGCCAUUUUGAGUUCCGUGUCAUGCCAUUUGGGGUCACCAACGGACCACCCACAUUCCAAUGUGUCAUAAACUCGGUGUUCUCCGGACCAAAUCGUAAGUUCGUCAUUACUUUUCUCGAUGACAUCUUGGUGUUCAGCCGUUCUCUGCAGGAGCAUGUUGAUCAUCUGCGCACCGUCUUCUCCAUUCUGCGACAACAUCAACUGUAUGCCAAACAAUCCAAGUGCUCCUUCGCACAGCCCAGCAUUGAGUACCUCGGGCAUGUUAUUUCCAGAGAGGGCGUGGCAACUGAUAAGAGCAAGACUAGUGCCAUGUCUGCGUGGCCGACACCGACAAAUGCCACUGAACUCCGGGGUUUUCUGGGUUUGACAGGCUAUUACCGCAAGUUUGUGAAGAACUAUGGGAUUCUUGCCAAGCCAUUGACUCAAUUGCUCACUAAGAAAGGAUUCAGUUGGACAGAUCAAGCUCAAGCGGCGUUCGACCUCCUCAAACAAGCAAUGGUGAACACCCCAGUGCUAUCUCUGCCUGAUUUCAACCGCCCGUUCUCCAUCGAGACGGAUGCGUGUGAUACGGGUGUGGGCGCUGUCCUAGUACAAGAAGGCCACCCUGUCGCCUACUUAAGCAAGGCUCUGGGCACACGCAAUCAACGCCGUUCCAUUUACGAGAAAGAAUUCCUUGCGGUGAUCAUGGCGAUAGACAGGUGGCGCGCCUACCUACAACGGGCACCAUUCGUCAUCGUCACGGAUCAUAAGAGCUUGUGCAGCUUGGGGGAGCAACAGUUGGACACCGAGUUACAGCGCGGUGUUGACAAUGGUGCCGCAGAUGCAUUGUCUCGCGUCGGGCAUCUUCUUUCCCUCGAUGCCAUCUCCGUGUGCCAACCACAGUGGCUGCAAGAAGUCGCGAACUCAUACGAGACGGACGCUGACGCCCAAGAUCUGCUGCAACGGUUGGCUGUCUUCAGUCCGGAUGAGCACGGCUACGAGCUCAGGCAAGGCGUGAUCCGCCUUCAGGACCGGCUCUGGAUUGGUGCCAACACCGCACUCCAGACCAAACUAAUCAGUGCUUUCCAUGCCAGCGCAAUUGGGGGUCACUCUGGAGUCACGGCCACAUAUCAGCGCCUCAAGAAGCUAUUUGCCUGGCGGGGCCUCAAGCAGGCCGUGGAGGAAUUCGUGCACCAGUUUGCCGUUUGCCAACACGCCAAGCACGAGCAUAUCAAGCCACCCGGACUGCUGCAACCUCUGCCCAUCCCUACAGAGCCGUGGCAUGACCUCACCACGGACUUCAUCGAAGGUUUGCCACUGUCUGAGGGCUGUGAGGUGAUCAUGGUCGUUGUUGACCGGUUCACUAAGUACGCGCAUUUUGUGCCCUUGCGUCACCCCUUCACAGCAGCAACAGUGGCGCGUGCAUUCUGGGACAGCAUCAUCAAGCUACACGGGGUGCCACACUCGAUUGCCUCGGAUCGCGAUCCUAUCUUCACCAGCAAAAUGUGGCGUGCUCUCCACGACGCCGCCGGCACCAAGCUCAGUUACUCGACAGCAUAUCACCCUCAGACGGAUGGACAGAGCGAGCACGUCAAUCAGUGCCUCGAGAUGUAUCUGCGAUGUGCGGUGCAUGACAAUCCCAAGCAGUGGCGAAAGUGGCUGUCCACGGCUGAGUUCUGGUACAAUACCACCUAUCACUCAUCGCUAAACACAACACCGUUCCAGGCACUCUACGGCAAAGAACCCAACCUGGGUGGUCUACCUACUUUGGCCACCAGGUUGCCCGCGGAUGCAAGCACCGAGCUGGACUGGGCAACUCACAGUGGCUGGCUCCGUGAUCAAAUGGCGCGGGCUCAAAACAGGUGCAAGCAAAAGACUGAUCGCAAUCGUACAGAGCGUUCCUUCGAAGUGGGUGAUUCAGUGCUGCUCAAGCUUCAGCCAUAUACACAGUCAACAGUGGCUAACCGCCCGUACCCCAAAUUGGCGUACAAGUUCUUUGGUCCAUUUCAGAUUCUGGAACGCAUUGGUCCUUUGGCUUACAAGCUCCAGUUGCCGGACGACAGUCGCAUACACCCAGUUUUUCAUGUCUCGCAGCUCAAGCCCUUCACUCCGGACUACAGUCCAGUUUUCUCAGAGCUACCCCGUGCACCGAACCUCACAGCGGCACCGGUACAACCUAUUGCCAUUCUCGAACGUCGCAUGGUGAAGAAAGGCAACAACUCAAUUGUGCAGGUCAAAGUUCAGUGGUCUUCGUUAGCUCCUGAAUCCCCGACCUGGGAGGAUUAUUCUGUGCUCCGUCAGCGCUACCCGGAGGCAAGCUGUUGGGAUGAAGACGCUCGCGCUCAAGGGGAGGCAAAUGUCACACCUGAUACAUGA
rnacentral:rRNA from 1 species